GUUUCCUUACCUAUGUAUUUAGGUCUGAUUUUUUUGUAUUUCCCCAGUGUGAAUUGUUCUCAUCUAUCUACAGUGAAUUUAGUCUGCUGGUUUUGACACCAAUUUCCUUAGUUCUGCAAUUAUUUUGUUUAAUUCCUUCAUCCCCUUAUUACUUUGAGUAACUUUGUGCUACUGGCAUGUACUGUGGGCUUCAGAGUUUGCUGUCUCACAACCCUUAUGAAUAGGUUGUACUUUGCUAGCCCCAGCAAAGUUGUGGUGGUCUGUUGGCAGUCCAUGUCCUUAGGAAAGAAUGACUGCUGAUUCACACCCUUUCUUUUCUAUCUUUAAACAGUUUACUGAUGCAACAGCUCCUUCUUUUUGGCAUCCCUGCAUCUUUAAUGGUUUUUAGCAAGGGAAUAUGUCAGAUGUCUUUCAGGAUUUUAAGCGUGCUGUAUUAGAUUUGCUUACUCUCAUCUCUUUUUAGUCUUCAGAAGAACUCUAAAAUGUUUAUCAAACAUUACUUGCCUUUUCAAAGCAACUCUGACUUUCCUAGGUAUGUUUACCCACUUGUUUUUAUGGCUUUAGAACAAUUUCUGGCAGUUUGCCAAGUACAGAAAAAUACAAUUAGUCUGUCGAUUCCUGCAUCCCUCUGGGAUCUCUUCUGAAAAAACAGGUGAUCAUUCCACCCACUAAACUCCCAAAAGCUUGCUGUCACUUUUCCCAUUUUCCAGUCAUUUGAUAAUGAGGCAGUUUUAACCCAGAAGUUUCCUUUAGAAUUAGGGAGUGAUAGUCCCCAGCCCUGGCCAUUUGUCACUCUUCCUCUGUAACUCUGCUGGUGUUUUGCUCUGAGGAGUAAACCCUUCAUCAAGAUCCGCAUGGCACCAAACUCUGAUUCCAGGUUUUGUUCAGAGUUUGGGGAUUUUUUUUUCUCUGUGGCCUUCCCUGAACACUUUGCUUUUUAUUUUGAUCAUCUCCUUGCCUCAUUAGGCAGGUUCCUGUUCCUGGGGCAGUGUUUGGGUGUGAAUGCACAUUUGUAGAUUGUUCCUGUAUAUGCUGAUCUGCCUAUAAAUUUUACAUUCAGUGACCAGUUCCAUUUGAGUGCAAAAGCUGGACAACUGGUUUUACAAAGGCUGGCUUUUAAAUUCUGGUAGGUUUUAAUCCAAGUCAGCUUCCCUCUCCCCACAAAGCCAGAUCAGUUCAGUGCAUGUAUUGAGUCACACUGACAUUCGGGGUGUACAAUCUCAGUGUUGUCAUCAAGCAUUGCAUCUUAGUGUUUGACUUGUCUGUUUGGUUUCAUGUUAGCAUAUUUCCUUAUUUUAUGAUGUUCCUUUUUAUGGAAGUUUAGUAAACUUGGUCAAUAUUCUUGCAGAAAUAGAACCACCCAAAGCCAGUCUUUGAAAACAGCACCUUGACUCAGCCAGAGGUGGGUGAUCCUGAUCAGCUGCAGGGAAAAAGUAUGUUAACAAAUCAAUCCUGGCCUGUUCAGCGUGACAUGUAUCCAACCUCCUGCUGCCUCUGGCCCAUUUAUGGUACUACAGAACCAGAAAGUGACAGUGGUAGUGAGACCUGACCCUUCCCCAGGGUUUACCUGUUGCACUGCAGUUUUACAAAGCAGACAUUUCUGAUUCUUGAUGGUGUUGGGCUGAAGUUCCUUACUCUUCAUCCACCAUAUAGCUGCUGAAAUCACUGAGCACAGGUACUGUUGCUUGGAGCCUGGCAUUUUUGCUCAGUGUUAGGUUCCAAACACUUGCUAUUUUAUUAGAGGUUCAGUGCAGAUGAGAUUAAUUAAUGUAUUAAUCACUUCUGUAAAAGGGUGCGAACUGUGUCUUUAGUUCAGAAUUAAAGUUACAAGCUUUAAGACAUUUGAAAGAAUACAGUGUGCUGGCUGGAACAGACUGUAAAUUGCUUGGGGCAGGAGCUGUGUUCUCAUCUACCUCAUGUGUCUUGUGUGCUCAGUUGGGUUUAGACAGAGAAACUGUGCAGGGGGAGGGAUUUUUUCUUUUAGCUGGUUCAGGAGAAAGGGAGCUACAUCUCAGCAAAUCCUGCCUCUUGCAUGUACAUCGGAGUUGUGAAUCAGGUCUGUCACCAACGGGCAUGAUUGAGCAGGCGUUUCCAGUCCCUCUCUACUGUACCACGUGGGCUUGGCAGCUGUGUCAGACAGCCAGAACAUGCAGCCAUCCCCUCAGCAUCAUGACAUGAUGGGUAAUACGAGCUCAUGAAGUACUUGCUUAUGUAUUAAAUCUCUUUGGGCUUCUUGCACAGAUAAGGAUGUAGUUGCCCACAUGUGGAGAAUCAAGGUGUUUAUUAAAUACAAGCUAAUUGCAAUACAGAAAGCAGCUAUGAUGUAUAAGGUAGGGUUUCAAACUGGACUAUACUAGGUUUUGGUCCCCAACAGCCAGUGGGUGGUGAUGGAAAAAGAUGGUGUAUGUUAACUAAAGGGUGCAGCUGUUGUGAAGGUGCAAGAUAAAGGUGUUGUGUGUUAAGUAACACUACCAGCUGAAAAACCCUCAUGCAUGUGGAAUUUUGCACCUCACUGUUAGUAAUCAUCUUGACAGAAGCGUCUGUCAUCAUCCUGAAUGGAGUUGCACUGACUCCUCCAUUGCUCUGAAUGUGCUUGGAGUGAUGAGCUUCCUAAAUAAUUUGAAGUCUUGCACAAAGCUAGGACUUCUUUUUUUGGUCCUAUAAAAUGAUGAAGUACGCUUUCAGGUCAUACUGUCUAUCUUUGGAAUUGGUGGAGAGAGAUUAAACUUCUGAACGUUACUUUGAUGCUUCCAAGAAUUUCAGAUUUCUGGCUUGGAAAGCAUGUCAUUUUCUUGUGCCACGCUUCUAUCUCUGAAUUUGUAAACCCAAACAGUCCCAGUAACUAAGUAACAGUACAGCUGAAUGUUUCCAUAAAAACAACUUUGCUGCUUAGAGAUGUGAUUUACUACUUAAGUGUGUCUGUACAUAUAUACAGAGGCAAAAUGUGAUGAUGACCUCAUCAUCUUCAGCCAGCUCACAAGAGCAGUCCCAGCUUUUUAAUCUCUGGGCCAAAGACAAAUUCACUGUAAGCAGACAGGGCUCCACUGCCUUCAGCUGCAGGAUCACCCAUAAUGUCAGUACUCACUUAAGUGCUGAGAGAAUUCUGGUUGUAGUGAUCAAUGCUUGAAAUCCAAGCCUAAAAAAAAAAAAGUAUUAUCUAUCUUGCAUCUUUCAUGCUAUCUUUGCGCAGAAAGGGGAAGCGAGUCAAUAUUCAGGGUUUUACAAGUAAAUCUUAACUUUUUAUGGUUUUCAUUUUGAUAUUGCCUUGUUAGAGGACUAAAUUUAGCUGCAUUCGGCGUAUGCCCUUACUUGUGAGUGAUGUCAUAUUGCAAUUUCUGGACACACAGAAUAGACCUGCAUCUUUUCUAACCUAUUGCAAAAAGCAUCUUCAAGUGCUUUCACUGGGCAAAGGUUUCUCAGAAUUUAUCUUGUUUAAACAAGAUUCUGGGUCACAACCAGUGUUCUGAUAAAUUCUGGUAAUUUCUUGGUGCUGUGUCUGUAUGAUAAUAUUUAAAAUGUCUUGUACUGAGACAGUUAAUAGCCUUUACCAGAGGAAACCUUUCUAUUUGUGUAAUAUUUAUUGAUGUUAAACCCACAUUAUGUCAGCACAACAAUCCAAAGUAAUGAUAAUACAUUUUUUAUAAAUACAAAUAAAAGGUGGCAAAAUAAUGCUAGUGAAGCGAAACAAAAAAGUCAGUUGGCAUGUCACAGUCGAGAAGAAUUUGGCAAAUGAUAUGACAUACUUCCUCUAGAAUAGAAUCAGUUACUCCCAGAUGACAGACUAUGACGUUAAUCUAGAUUAACGAUCCCCAAAACUGGUCAUAUCCUGCACCAGAAUUGUACUACCGUAUGUGCUAACGUUUAUUAGCCACUAAAACACAACACAAACUUUGUGUACUUACAAAGCAAUACACGUAUAGCAGUAAUGCAGUAUAUGGUGUACACAAUUACAGAAUUAAAAAAACAAAACCCCUAAGUACAGGACUUCUGAAUAACUGAACUGAGAUAAAAGAU